rnacentral:rRNA from 1 species
UACGUAGGGUGCGAGCGUUGUCCGGAAUUAUUGGGCGUAAAGAGCUCGUAGGCGGUGUGUCACGUCGGCCGUGAAACCUGCAGCUUAACUGUGGGCGUGCGGUCGAUACGGGCAUCACUGGAGUUCGGCAGGGGAGACUGGAAUUCCUGGUGUAGCGGUGAAAUGCGCAGAUAUCAGGAGGAACACCGAUGGCGAAGGCAGGUCUCUGGGCCACUACUGACGCUGAGAAGCGAAAGCGUGGGGAGCGAACAGG